rnacentral:rRNA from 1 species
GUAGGGUGCAAGCGUUAAUCGGAAUUACUGGGCGUAAAGCGUGCGCAGGCGGUUUUGUAAGUCUGUCGUGAAAGCCCCGGGCUCAACCUGGGAAUUGCGAUGGAGACUGCAAGGCUUGAAUCUGGCAGAGGGGGGUAGAAUUCCACGUGUAGCAGUGAAAUGCGUAGAGAUGUGGAGGAACACCGAUGGCGAAGGCAGCCCCCUGGGUCAAGAUUGACGCUCAUGCACGAAAGCGUGGGGAGCAAACAGGAUUAGAUACCCUGGUAGUCCACGCCCCUAAACGAUGUCUACUAGUUGUCGGGUUUUAAUUAACUUGGUAACGCAGCUAACGCGUGAAGUAGACCGCCUGGGAGUACGGUCGCAAGAUUA